rnacentral:lncRNA from 1 species
UUUUCUGUUUGUUUUGCUUUUAAAUUAUGCAAAGCGUGACACAUAUAUGUUGAAUACAUUCAGCACAAGAACCCACACUUCUAAUGCCCUAUAUAUAUUCUAUUCACAUGAAGAAUUUUGAGUAUUUUUAAUUUUUAUUUUAAUACAUAUGUAAAGAGGAAAAUAAUUUAUAUUCAUUUAAUGCAAAACAAAAUACCCUACACUAUGGUGUUGUGUACUAUGGUCACUUUCAAAACCAAGCAAAAACAAAUUUACUCAGCAUAAACUUAGUUAUACCACAUAAAUGUCAGUUCAACUCUGUACAUUGGUGAGGCCUGAGAAAUAAUAUAAAUUAGAAAGUUUUUAAGCUGUCGUGUUUAUUACAUUCUCCAUUGUGGAAUGGGUAGAGAGAAAGGAAAGUAAGCUGAAAAUGCUAAAUAUUUUGAUUGAUGUUUAUUGUUCACAUAUAUUUUAUGUCACAAAGUAUUUUAAAUUUUAUUAAACCAGCUGUAGGAGUGGAGGAUAAAUGCUUUCUGCUUUACAAGGAAGAUUUUCUGAUAUGGGAACCCACAAAUAACUGAUGGGCAGUUGAGCAUACUCAAGAUCCAUUUUCACAGCCUCUGUCAGGAGUUUCAGAUUCGUAUCUUCAAUAGUUUCCUCGUAUUCUGAUUUGAAUUGGGUUUGACUAGAGGUCAGGAAGUAGGAAAGAUAUCUUACAGAAAGGUCUCUCUUCACAACCAUAAAUACUAUCCAAGGGAAGCUGGGACAAAAUUGUAUUUCUCUGCUAUUGCUACAAUUUACAAUUUUAUUCCCUAACCCUUUCCCCUCCCCCAAAACACACACACUUGAAUCAUUUACUCUAGUAUGCAGGAGACUGUGUCAGCCUCCAGGCCACUCCUGACCUCUUACCCUAAUGUUCUCACUCUUUUCCUCCACUGCAAUCAAGGAAACCACUUCCUCAGAGUUUUUGCUUAAUUCUUUAAUUCCAAGUCCUUUUUGUUUUUUUCUUUUUUUUUUUCUUUUCAUUGUUGGUAUUCCCUCUAUGAAUUGUCUGGCACUUUGUGGCUUAAAACUCUCUCAAAUCUGAGCUUACCUCCAAUCUUAAGUUUCCUGAAGCACAAAGAGAACAGCCCUCAUGC